CGAUGAUACGCGAGGACGUCCUUACCUGGGACUUAAAUGUAGAGUGCUAUUUUUUAGAGAUAGAAAUUCCCUUCGGGGCUUUCUGCAAGGUGCUGCAUGGUUGUCGUCAGCUCGUGCCGUGAGGUGUCGGGUUAAGUCCCAUAACGAGCGCAACCCUUAUCGUUAGUUGCCAGCUGGUAAAGCAGGGGACUCUAGCGAAACUGCCACCGUAAGGUGAGAGGAAGGUGGGAUGACGUCAAAUCAGCACGGCCCUUAUGUCCAGGGCUACACACGUGUUACAAUGGCCGGCACAGAGGGCAGCUACCUGGUGACAGGAUGCUAAUCUCGAAAACCGGUCUCAGUUCGGAUUGGAGUCUGCAACCCGACUCCAUGAAGCUGGAUUCGCUAGUAAUCGCGCAUCAGCCAUGGCGCGGUGAAUACGUUCCCGGGCCUU
rnacentral:rRNA from 1 species